CAGCAGCCGCGGUAAUACGAAGGGUGCAAGCGUUAAUCGGAAUUACUGGGCGUAAAGCGUGCGUAGGCGGUCUGUUAAGUCUGUUGUGAAAUCCCCGGGCUCAACCUGGGAAUGGCAAUGGAUACUGGCAAGCUAGAGUGUGUCAGAGGAUGGUGGAAUUCCCGGUGUAGCGGUGAAAUGCGUAGAGAUCGGGAGGAACAUCAGUGGCGAAGGCGGCCAUCUGGGACAACACUGACGCUGAGGCACGAAAGCGUGGGGAGCAAACAGGAUUAGAUACCCGCGUAGUCCCUGUCUCUUAUAC
rnacentral:rRNA from 1 species